AAAUUUGUUGGAUGUGAAUGUGUAUGUAUAAAAAUGUUGCGAUUUUCAGCAGUCGCGUGAAGUAUAUCACUAUUAUUAUUUAUAUAAAAAUUUGAUUCCGUUUUUUACCCACAAAAAAUUGGAUUGAUUGAAAUUUAUAACGAAUAUUUAUUCAAAUCAAAUUUAUAGCAUUUUUUUUUAUCAAAAUUGAAAUUUAAAUAUAAAAUUUGUCGCAUGCAAAAAAAUUAAGGUGACAACUUCUGUUCAACUUAAAAAAAUUCUGAACUCGACAGAUUGCCUCACAGAAAAUAAAGUAGUAGUAACGCGUGUAAAAGGCCUGAGAGUAGAAUCAUUUUUUGCAUUUUUUUAUGACAUUCUAUGUAAUAUUACAUCCUGAAACAUGUAGCCAAACAGUAUGGGAAACCUACUUGACCGAAAUGUCAAGCUAAUAUAUGCGUUUAUCCUUUCCAUUCUUCAUCAGUCUGAUGUCAGAGCGGGCCAAGGCGCCAGUCCUUACUGUUGAUGCUGGGUUUGAAUCCCGUCGGUUUCAACUUUUAUUUGUGUAUACAAAAAUUGUACAUGCAGUGUGUUAUACUAAGUGUCUUUUCGACGAAGGUGAUGUACAUGCAUAAAAACCUGAUUGCUGUAUGAUUUUUAUUUAUUUUUUAUGUCUACUUUAUGUGUCACUGAAAACAUUAAACACAUUUACUCAAACUAUUUACAGAAGCAAGUUUUAAUGUAAUUUUAUGGAUGCAAUCAAUUAACUCACUGUCCAAACACUUUGCUAAAAAAGUAAUAUUUCUCAAUAAAAAAUAACAGCUAAAAAAUACAAAAAUUAUAUAUAAUCUAGAAGUUGUAUCAUCGAAUCAUGGGAAAAUCGAAUCACUUUUUUUCCGUUGUCUUAUUUUUGAUUGUUGAGCUAAACUAUAACUUAUGACCCCUAAACUACGCUAAAUUUUUCAAAUGGCGGCAAUGAAGUAUUUAAACGGUGAGGCAAUCCAAACCACUUUUUACAGCUCCCAUCCUACUCGGGAGUUGAACUUACGACCUUUGGGUUGUGAGUCAAACUGCUUACCAGCGACUCUACCCUGGGAGACUACUCCUACACCUGGUCUGAGCUAACGACCUAACCUCUACUCGCUGAAAAAAAUAACACCCCGAUCGGCCUUCGUCAGACCGAUUUUAUUCUACCAUCAGGCUGAUUGAGGCGUUAAAUUUCUCAGAGGGUUGGUUAGUCCGGGGCCAACAUUUACUUCCUCGUCCUAAUACAACACUUUUUUUUUGCAUUAAUUAUUUUCUAACUUUAAACAUCAAAUUGGAGGUCUGCAUUGCUUGUUAGAUUACACCGACCAACAAAAUUUCUGUGCAAGCUAAGCUCGAGGGGAAGCAUAAAUUGAAUUGAUUUUUUCUGAGGACUUUGGAUAAUCGAGUCUGGACUGUAGAUUAAACUGUUAGAAUGCUUGUCCGUCCCUUUUACCGUAUUUGGGAGCGUUAUUUUAUUACUAAGAUCUGACAAAAACAAAAAUUAAUCGAAAAAAAAAAGAUUUUGCAUCAAAAAUUUUCAAAAAAUCUUAAGAUUUUUUAAUAAACCCAAACAUGCUAAAAAUGAUUUUAAACACAGGAGAAUGUAUUUUAAUUUGAUUUCAGCUGGUUGCACUUGAAUUUUCAUUGAAAUUUUGAAGUUUAUUGUAAAAAUAUUUUUUUGCCCCCUGAUUUUUUGGGCCAAUUUUGAAGGGGGAGGGGGGGGGGGGGGGUGGUUGACAAAAACUUUUAAAAAUAUUUGUACCAGCCUAAUCAAACUUCGAAUAAUCGAAACUUCGGAUAAUCGAGUCUGGACUGUUUAUAAAUGUAUGAAGAGUUCGCAAAACACAACAUUAAAAUGACAAUUGAAUAUAAAAACAAAAAGGCUGGUAUAACUAUUUUUGAACGUUUUUGUCACCCCCUCGCCCUCGACCCCGGCUAGAGCCGAGGGACAAAAACUUUGGAAAAUAUUUGCAUCGGCCUAAAAUAUAAAUAAUAAAUUUUAAUGAACAAAAUAAUAAACGACCGAUACAGUCCAGAUAAGAUUUUCGAGAGCCUCGAUUAUCCGAUUUUCCGGUUAUUAAAGUUUCCACUUGUGCAAACUAUCACUAUUGUCAAAUUCUGUCCCCCUUAUGUCUGAUCUGGAUAUUUUUUUUUUCGUAAAGUCAAAUUCUAGAUUAAAUUUUCAAAACAACCUAUCCCUCAUAGGUUUCCUAUGCAGAUAGGGCCUUUUGAAAAUUUAAUCGAGAAAUUUAAUAAGCACUUUAGCAGCUUAAAACUUAUUCUAACAAAAAAAAUAAUAUUUAGGUUUAGUCGAAUAAUAAACUAAGUACAAAAACUAUUAAAAACUUUUAGCAUAAAUUAAUAAUUAAGUGAUAGAAAAAUAAUUUUAUUUUGUUCGAAUUAUGCCAUACAAUAAAUCAAUCAACCAAACGACGGAAACCUGUCAAAGAUCGUCGUCGUCGAAAACCGAAACUACAAAAAAUGCGUUUUUCUGGAAAGCAUACAAGCACACCUUUGCUUGGAAUCUUCCCUUCUUCAUGUUAAUGUUAACAGAGAGACUAACCGAGAGAGGGAAAGAGAGAGAGAGAAAGAGAGAGAACGUAAACUUUCUCUCACACGAACAAGGCGAGAAUGGUAUAAACCUCGGUAUAAACUUGAAUAACGAAGCAGGCUGUUGCUGUUUCUGCUUGCUUCCAACAACAACAACAACAAUCACUCGAUUACGAGCACGAAAGAUAUUUAACAACCGGCCGAGAGCGAACUCGUACUCAGUUUGAACUGAGUCGUUGUGGGGGGAAGGAGCUGCCGCUAGUUUCGUAUUCAAGGCGGCAUUUGAGAGAGGAGGUGAGAGAAAUAAAAAACGCAAGGCUGUGGCGUUUGUAAAAUACUUUCCGGUGCAUUUUGGAAUGGAGAAUGUUGCGAAACUCAAGUGAUGGACGGAACGUAAACGCGGUGGGAUCAUUCAACAGACGCGAUGGAAAAUUUUGCUGAAUAAAACAAGAUGGCGGCGACGGUGGCCCACUGACAGCGACGCCGCUUUUUUCCUGGGUGAUGGCGGAGUAGAAUGGAAGAAUCGAUACGACGACAUUUGCCGUGGUUGCUGAGAUUGCGAAAUAGAGGCAGCAAAAGAAAGUGCGGUGUCAAAAAAAUGGAAAAGUGUCGUAAAUGAAUUACAGAAAAAGAACGAUGGUGGCAAUUAAUCAUGAGAAGGGCGAACUUUGUAUCGAUUAAAUGGUUAAUUAACUGAAUAAUAUCUCUGGGUUGUGGUGACGUGGCAAGUACUUUUGGAAAA